AUUGAACGCUGGCGGCAGGCCUAACACAUGCAAGUCGAGCGGAUGAAGGGAGCUUGCUCCUGGAUUCAGCGGCGGACGGGUGAGUAAUGCCUAGGAAUCUGCCUGGUAGUGGGGGAUAACGUCCGGAAACGGACGCUAAUACCGCAUACGUCCUGAGGGAGAAAGUGGGGGAUCUUCGGACCUCACGCUAUCAGAUGAGCCUAGGUCGGAUUAGCUAGUUGGUGGGGUAAAGGCCUACCAAGGCGACGAUCCGUAACUGGUCUGAGAGGAUGAUCAGUCACGCUGGAACUGAGACACGGUCCAGACUCCUACGGGAGGCAGCAGUGGGGAAUAUUGGACAAUGGGCGAAAGCCUGAUCCAGCCAUGCCGCGUGUGUGAAGAAGGUCUUCGGAUUGUAAAGCACUUUAAGUUGGGAGGAAGGGCAGUAAGUUAAUACCUUGCUGUUUUGACGUUACCAACAGAAUAAGCACCGGCUAACUUCGUG
rnacentral:rRNA from 1 species